CCGAAUGGGGAAACCCAGUGUGAUUCGUCACACUAUCAUUAACUGAAUCCAUAGGUUAAUGAGGCGAACCGGGGGAACUGAAACAUCUAAGUACCCCGAGGAAAAGAAAUCAACCGAGAUUCCCCCAGUAGCGGCGAGCGAACGGGGAGGAGCCCAGAGCCUGAAUCAGCAUGUGUGUUAGUGGAAGCGUCUGGAAAGGCGCGCGAUACAGGGUGACAGCCCCGUACACAAAAGCGCAUGUGCUGUGAGCUCGAUGAGUAGGGCGGGACACGUGGUAUCCUGUCUGAAUAUGGGGGGACCAUCCUCCAAGGCUAAAUACUCCUGACUGACCGAUAGUGAACCAGUACCGUGAGGGAAAGGCGAAAAGAACCCCGGCGAGGGGAGUGAAAAAGAACCUGAAACCGUGUACGUACAAGCAGUGGGAGCACAGGUUUACCUGUGUGACUGCGUACCUUUUGUAUAAUGGGUCAGCGACUUAUAUUCUGUAGCAAGGUUAACCGUAUAGGGGAGCCGCAGGGAAACCGAGUCUUAA
rnacentral:rRNA from 2 species